rnacentral:rRNA from 1 species
CAGCAGCCGCGGGAAUACGGAGGGUGCAAGCGUUAAUCGGAAUUACUGGGCGUAAAGCGCACGCAGGCGGUCUGACAAGUCAGAUGUGAAAUCCCCGGGCUUAACCUGGGAACUGCAUUUGAAACUGUCAGGCUGGAGUCUUGUAGAGGGGGGUAGAAUUCCAGGUGUAGCGGUGAAAUGCGUAGAGAUCUGGAGGAAUACCGGUGGCGAAGGCGGCCCCCUGGACAAAGACUGACGCUCAGGUGCGAAAGCGUGGGGAGCAAAUAGGAUUAGAUACCCCAGUAGUCCCUGUCUCUUAUAC